rnacentral:rRNA from 1 species
GCAAGUAGAACGCUGAAGGAGGAGCUUGCUCUUCUGGAUGAGUUGCGAACGGGUGAGUAACGCGUAGGUAACCUGCCUGGUAGCGGGGGAUAACUAUUGGAAACGAUAGCUAAUACCGCAUAAGAGUAGAUGUUGCAUGACAUUUGCUUAAAGGGUGCAAUUGCACCACUACCAGAUGGACCUGCGUUGUAUUAGCUAGUUGGUGGGGUAACGGCUCACCAAGGCGACGAUACAUAGCCGACCUGAGAGGGUGAUCGGCCACACUGGGACUGAGACACGGCCCAGACUCCUACGGGAGGCAGCAGUAGGGAAUCUUCGGCAAUGGACGGAAGUCUGACCGAGCAACGCCGCGUGAGUGAAGAAGGUUUUCGGAUCGUAAAGCUCUGUUGUAAGAGAAGAACGAGUGUGAGAGUGGAAAGUUCACACUGUGACGGUAUCUUACCAGAAAGGGACGGCUAACUACGUGCCAGCAGCCGCGGUAAUACGUAGGUCCCGAGCGUUGUCCGGAUUUAUUGGGCGUAAAGCGAGCGCAGGCGGUUAGAUAAGUCUGAAGUUAAAGGCUGUGGCUUAACCAUAGUACGCUUUGGAAACUGUUUAACUUGAGUGCAAGAGGGGAGAGUGGAAUUCCAUGUGUAGCGGUGAAAUGCGUAGAUAUAUGGAGGAACACCGGUGGCGAAAGCGGCUCUCUGGCUU